rnacentral:snoRNA from 1 species
AACCUCCUGAGAUAGCAUCUGGAGAGUGACUAGUAUUCUGCCAGCUUCAGAAACAGAAGGGACAGCAAGCCUAGCAGAGGUGCCCAUUCCAUUCCCAGUUUGCUCAGUAACUGGUGAUUGGAAGACACUCUGCAACACCA